AAGGAGCCCUUGUAGUGGAAGUUGGCAAUAGUUGGUCCACUGUAGGAGUGGGGUGUGCAUCAAGAUGGGAUCUAUCGAUCCUAGCAGAAAGGAGUAGUCCUAUGAAAUUUAAGAGGCUGAGUUUUUAAGUCUAUGGCCAUAGCAGUAUGAUUGAUGGAAAGAGUUUUCAUAGAAUCACAUAUGGAAUUAAGCUAAUUGAAUCUAUCAUAUAACCGAUGUUGAGGUUUGACGAUUUAUCCAUGACCUGCCAUCUAGUCGGGACUCAUG
rnacentral:lncRNA from 1 species